rnacentral:rRNA from 1 species
GACGAACGCUGGCGGCGUGCUUAACACAUGCAAGUCGAACGGAAAGGCCCUGCUUUUGUUGGUUGCUCGAGUGGCGAACGGGUGAGUAACACGUGAGUAACCUGCCCUUGACUUUGGGAUAACUUCAGGAAACUGGGGCUAAUACCGGAUAUGAGCUCCUGCUCCAUGGUGGUGGUUGGAAAGUUUCGGCGGUUGGGGAUGGACUCGCGGCUUAUCAGCUUGUUGGUGGGGUAGUGGCUUACCAAGGCUUUGACGGGUAGCCGGCCUGAGAGGGUGACCGGACACAUUGGGACUGAGAGACGGCCCAGACUCCUACGGGAGGCAGCAGUGGGGAAUAUGGCACAAUGGGCGGAAGCCUGAUGCAGCAACGCCGCGUGCGGGAUGACGGCCUUCGGGUUGUAAACCGCUUUCGCCUGUGACGAAGCGUGAGUGACGGUAAUGGGUAAAGAAGCACCGGCUAACUACGUG